rnacentral:rRNA from 1 species
CAGGCCUAACACAUGCAAGUCGAGCGGGCCCUUCGGGGUCAGCGGCGGACGGGUGAGUAACGCGUGGGAACGUGCCUUCUGGUCUGGAAUAACCCUGGGAAACUAGGGCUAAUACCGGAUACGCCCUUUUGGGGAAAGGUUUACUGCCGGAAGAUCGGCCCGCGUCUGAUUAGCUAGUUGGUGGGGUAACGGCCUACCAAGGCGACGAUCAGUAGCUGGUCUGAGAGGAUGAUCAGCCACACUGGGACUGAGACACGGCCCAGACUCCUACGGGAGGCAGCAGUGGGGAAUAUUGGACAAUGGGCGCAAGCCUGAUCCAGCCAUGCCGCGUGAGUGAUGAAGGCCUUAGGGUUGUAAAGCUCUUUUAUCCGGGACGAUAAUGAC